rnacentral:rRNA from 1 species
GUGUCAGCCGCCGCGGUAAUACGUAGGAUCCAAGCGUUGUCCGGAUUUACUGGGUGUAAAGGGUGCGCAGGCGGACCUGUUAGUCAGGGGUGAAAUCUCACAGCUUAACUGUGAAACUGCCUUUGAUACUGCAGGUCUUGGAUCCAGAAGAGAGUUGUGGAAUUCCGAGUGUAGCAGUGAAAUGUGUAGAUAUUCGGAAGAACACCAGUGGCGAAGGCAGCAACUUGGUCUGGUAUCGACGCUCAGGCACGAAAGCAUGGGGAUCAAACAGGAUUAGAAACCCUCGUAGUCC